rnacentral:rRNA from 1 species
CAAGUCGAACGAACUCUUCGGAGUUAGUGGCAGACGGGUGAGUAACGCGUGGGAACCUACCUUUAGGUACGGAACAACAGUUGGAAACGACUGCUAAUACCGUAUGUGCCCUAUGGGGGAAAGAUUUAUCGCCUAAGGAUGGGCCCGCGUUGGAUUAGCUAGUUGGUGGGGUAAAGGCCUACCAAGGCGACGAUCCAUAGCUGGUCUGAGAGGAUGAUCAGCCACACUGGGACUGAGACACGGCCCAGACUCCUACGGGAGGCAGCAGUGGGGAAUAUUGGACAAUGGGCGCAAGCCUGAUCCAGCCAUGCCGCGUGAGUGAUGAAGGCCCUAGGGUUGUAAAGCUCUUUCAGCGAGGAGGAUAAUGACGUUACUCGCAGAAGAAGCCCCGGCUAACUUCGUGCCAGCAGCCGCGGUAAUACGAAGGGGGCUAGCGUUGUUCGGAAUCACUGGGCGUAAAGCGCACGUAGGCGGACUUUUAAGUCAGGGGUGAAAUCCCGGGGCUCAACCCCGGAACUGCCUUUGAUACUGGAAGUCUUGAGUCCGAGAGAGGUGAGUGGAACUCCGAGUGUAGAGGUGAAAUUCGUAGAUAUUCGGAAGAACACCAGUGGCGAAGGCGG